rnacentral:rRNA from 1 species
UUUCAGAACCAUAUCUCCCUGCAGUUAUUGCCUGGUAACUAAGCAGGGUUGAGCCUGGCCAGUACCUGGAUGGGAGACCUCCUGGGGAAAACUAAGUGGACAC